rnacentral:rRNA from 1 species
UGGUGGAGUGAUUUGUCUGGUUAAUUCCGUUAACGAACGAGACCUUAGCCUACUAACUAGUCGUCCUGUUGCUUAGCGGGUACGACUUCUUAGAGGGACUUUGUGAUCUAAACACAAGGAAGUUUGAGGCAAUAACA